rnacentral:tRNA from 1 species
GAGGUUGUGGCUCAGGGGUAGAGCGCUUGCCUAGCAUGUGUGAGGCCCUGGGUUCAAUUCUCAGCACCUCA